rnacentral:rRNA from 1 species
UACGGAGGGUCAAGCGUUAUCCGGAUUCACUGGGUUUAAAGGGUGCGUAGGUGGGCAAGUAAGUCAGUGGUGAAAUCUCCGGGCUUAACCCGGAACUGCCGUUGAUACUAUCUGUCUUGAAUAUUGUGGAGGUAAGCGGAAUAUGUCAUGUAGCGGUGAAAUGCUUAGAUAUGACAUAGAACACCAAUUGCGAAGGCAGCUUACUACACAGUUAUUGACGCUGAGGCACGAAAGCGUGGGGAUCAAACAGG